GCUCAUACCAGAACAACAACUAAUAAGUUAAUAGAACUAUUAUAACUGUGUGAUCUUAUUACUGUUCCAUUCAUUCUUCUCUCUUUUGUACACUUCUCCCGUCGUUGUCGUCUUGUUUUUCUUCCCCAGGUCAGGAACAAGGAAAUUUGCCACAGCAGAACUGUUGAAUGGCCUGGAGAUCUAGGGUCCUAACUGGUGUAAAAUACUGGUACUCCCAACAGCCAAUCAGAAUGCCUGCUGCUCCUAAACUGGAGCAGAGUUCCAGUUGGGGCUUGUUGCAGGUGUGGCUAUGGCAGUAUUUGCCUUAGCCUGGCCCCCUGCUCAGUGUCCCUGAUAUUCAUGGCUGUGAAAAGGUUCCUUCCUUCACUGAGAAUCAAUGGUCCUAAACAUUUCUUGCAGCAGUCACUCAGAGCAGGAUGUAUGCCUCUGGCUAAGAGAAGAGUUAUCCAGAUUUCACCUCAACCUCCUUCAGUUCCUGGGACACUGCAUGGAUAUGUCAUCAAUCUACCAGCAGGAACCAAAGCUCAUUUAGCCCUGGAGGAAGGAUUGCUUGAAAGACACAGGCUCCACCUGACAAAGAGAGGAAAGAACAUCUUCACAGACAGGCUUGCUAACCUAGUGAGGAGGACUUUAAACUAGGUUUGCCAGGGGAUGGAGACCAAAACCUUGAGGUUACGAAACGCCUGGACACAGGAGGAGGGGUGGAAGUCGUAUACUUAGACUUCAGGAAGGCCUUCGAUACGGUAUCCCACUCCAUACUGGUGAACAAGUUAAGAGGCUGUGACUUGGAUGACUACACAGUCCGGUGGGUGGCGACUUGGCUAGAGGGUCACACCCAGAGAGUUGUAGUGGAUGGGUCGGUAUUGACCUGGAAGGGUGUGGGCAGUGGGGUCCCGCAGGGCUCAGUCCUUGGACUGAUACUCUUCAAUAUCUUCAUCAGCGACUUGGACGAGAGAGUGAAGUGUACUCUGUUCAAGUUUGCAGAUGACACAAAACUGUGGGGAGAAGCGCACACGCCGGAGGGCAGGGAACAACUACAAGCAGACCUGGACAGGUUGGACAAAUGGGCAGAAAACAACAGAAUGCAAUUUAACAAGGAGAAAUGCAAAGUGCUGCACCUAGGGAGGAAGAAUGUCCAGCACACCUACAGCCUAGGGAAUGACCUGCUGGGUGGCACGGAAGCGGAAAGGGAUCUUGGAGUCCUAGUGGACUCCAAGAUGAACAUGAGUCGGCAGUGUGACGAAGCCAUCAGAAAAGCUAAUGGUACUUUAUCAUGCAUCAGCAGAUGCAUGAUGAACCGAUCCAAGGAGGUGAUACUUCCCAUCUAUCAGGCGCUGGUCAGACCACAUUUGGAAUACUGCGUGCAUUUUUGGGUGCCGCACUUCAAGAGGGAUGUAGAUAACCUGGAGAGGGUCCAGAGAAGGGCCACACGUAUGGUUAAGGGCUUGCAGGCCAAGCCCUAUGAGGAGAGACUAGGGCACCUGGACCUCUUCAGCCUCCGCAAGAGAAGGUUGAGAGGUGACCUUGUGGCUGCCUAUAAAUUCAUCACGGGGGCACAGAAGGGAAUUGGUGAGGUUUUAUUCACCAAAGCGCCCCCGGGGGUUACAGGAAAUAAUGUCCAAAAGCUAGCAGAGAGCAGAUUUAGACUAGACAUUAGGAGAAACUUCUUCACAGUUAGAGUGGCCAAGGUCUGGAAUGGGCUCCCAAGGGAGGUGUUGCUCUCCCCUACCCUGGGGGUCUUCAAGAGGAGGUUAGAUAGGCAUCUAGCUGGGGUCAUCUGAACCCAGCACUCUUUCCUGCCUAUGCAGGGGGUCGGAGUCAAUGAUCAAUUGAGGUCCCUUCUGACCCUAGCAUCUAUGAAUCUAUGAAAUAUAGUGCCUACAUUUAAAAAAGGGGAAAAAAGUGGAUCCAGGGAAUUGCAAAGGAGUCGGCUUCAGCUCAGUCCCUGGAAGAGUCAUGGAGGAGAUCCUCAAGGAAUCCAUUUCUAAACAUUUGGAGGAGAAGGUAAUUAGAAACAGUCAGAAUGGAUUCACCAAAAGCAAGUCAUACCUGACCAACCUGAUUGCCAUCUAUGAUGAGAUGACUGGCUCUGUGGAUGUGAGGAGACCAGUGGAUGUGGCAUACCUUGAUUUUAACAAGGCUUUUGAUACAGUCUCCUACAACAUUCCCAUAGGCAAGCUAAGGAAAUAUGGGCUGGAUGAAUAGACUGUAAAUUGGGUAGAAAACUGGAUGGAAUAUUGGGCUCAGAAAAUAGUAAUCAGUGGCUCAAUGUCUAGUUUUGUAGUCAGUAUCAAGUGGAGUGUCCCACAGGUCAAUCCUGGGGCUAGAUUUGUUUAAUAAUGAUAGUUCAUCAAUGGCCCAGAAGAUGGGAUGAAGUGCACCUUCAACAAGUUUGCGGAUAACUCCAAGCUGGGAGAAGUAGUAGAUAUGCUGGAGGGUAGGAUUAGGUUUCAGAGAGAUGUAGACAAAUUGGAGGACCAAAAGAAACCUCAUGAAGGUCAAUAAGGACAAGUGCCAAGCCCUGCACUUAGGAUGGACCAAUCCCAUGCACAAGUACAGGCGGGGGGCUGACUGGCUGGGCAGCAGCUCUGCAGAAAAGGUCCUAGGGGUUACAGUGGAGAAUAAGCUGAAUGAGCCAACAGUAUGCCCUUGUUGCCAAGAAGGCUAAUAGCAUGUUGGGAUGCAUUGGUAGGAAUGUUGCCAGCAAAUCAAGAGAAGUUAUUAUUCCCCUCUGUUUACACUGGUGAGGCCACAUCUCAAGUAUUGUGUUCAGUUUUGGGGCCCCCACCUUAGAAAUUAUGUGGACAUAUUGGAGAGAGUCCAGUGGAGGCCAAUGAAAAUUGUUAGGGAGCUGGGACACAUGACUUCUGAGGAGAGGCUGAGGGAACUGGGCUUACUUAGCUUGGAGAAGAGAAGACUGAGAGGGGAUUUAAUAUCAGCCUUCAAUUACCAGAAGGGUAGUUCCAGAGAGGAUGGAACUAGACUAUUCUUAGUGGCGGCAGAUGACAGAACAAGAAGCAAGGGUCUCAAGUUGCAGCAAAGGAUGUUUAUGUUAGACAUUAGGAAGAAUUUUCUCACUAGGAGGGAAGUUAAACACUGGAAAAGGUUACCCAGAGAGGUGGUAGAAGCUCCAUCCUUGCAGGUUUUUUAAGGCCCAGUUAGACCAAGCUUUGGCCUAGAUGAUCUAGUUGGGGACAGCCCUGCUUUGAGCAGGGAUUUGGACUAGAUGACCUCCUGAUGUCACUUUUAACUUUAAUUUUCUAUGAUUCCAAGAUUUUCAGACUAGGAUAAUGUAUUUUGUUUUGGUGUUUUGAAUAAAAGUGUUUUAUAAUUCAAUAAACAAAAAAUAGUAAGACUAUCA